UACGUAGGGGGCUAGCGUUGUCCGGAAUUACUGGGCGUAAAGGGCUCGUAGGUGGCCAACUAAGUCAGACGUGAAAUCCCUCGGCUUAACCGGGGAACUGCGUCUGAUACUGGAUGGCUUGAGUUCGGGAGAGGGAUGCGGAAUUCCAGGUGUAGCGGUGAAAUGCGUAGAUAUCUGGAGGAACACCGGUGGCGAAGGCGGCAUCCUGGACCGACACUGACGCUGAGGAGCGAAAGCCAGGGGAGCAAACGGG
rnacentral:rRNA from 1 species